CGAAGAACCUUACCAAGUCUUGACAUCGGAUGACCGACCCGUAACGGGUCUUCCUACGGGACAUCCAGACAGGUGGUGCAUGGUUGUCGUCAGCUCGUGUCGUGAGAUGUUGGGUUAAGUCCCGCAACGAGCGCAACCCUUAUCCUUAGUAGCCAGCAGUUCGGCUGGGCACUCUGGGGAGACUGCCAGGGAUAACCUGGAGGAAGGUGGGGAUGACGUCAAAUCAUCAUGCCCCUUAUGAUUUGGGCUACACACGUGCUACAAUGGCGUAAACAAAGGGAAGCGAAGGAGUGAUCCGGAGCAAAUCUCAAAAAUAACGUCUCAGUUCGGAUUGUAGUCUGCAACUCGACUACAUGAAGCUGGAAUCGCUAGUAAUCGCGGAUCAGAAUGCCGCGGUGAAUACGUUCCCGGGUCUU
rnacentral:rRNA from 1 species